rnacentral:sRNA from 1 species
ACCACCCGUGUCCAAAGUGCGAAUGAAUUAAAGAUUUCAUUAAGAAUUGACUGCGAUGUAAAAGAUGAAAAUGAGAAAGCAUAAUAUCUGGAUUAUGCCAUAAAUCUUUCAAAACAUGGGAUGCAUUUUCACAAAGCCUGAAAGAAAUGGCAGAAACCGCAGGAUAUUCAGAGUGUACAACGUGGACGAGCACGGAGAAGAAUUGAACAAUGGGAAAAUUGAGGUGACAGAAUCGGACCUAAUUCUUUAUCACCGUCAGAAGGAGAUUCGAUGGCCGCUACGUUGCCUGAGGCGCUACGGAUGGGAAGAGGAACUGUUUUCAUUUGAAAGUGGCCGCAGAUGCGCCACAGGACCUGGAAUUUUCGCUUUCAAAUGUCAGAGAGCAGAAGUGUUGUUCAACACAGUGCAGGAGUCUAUUCGAAGGGCGGGACAAAGUGAUCCACCUGCCAAUCCUUUGGGAGAUACUCAUAGCAAUAGCCGCCCCCCAUCCAUGAUUGAAAUCCCCGAUUUCCAAAACAGGGAUGAUAACCAAAGAAAUGGAAUGGAAAGAAACGGAAAUCCACAUGUCCCCCCGAACACUGAGAAUUAUGUGAACCAAUCGACUGUCGAUAUUAGAAAUCAGUAUGAGAACACCAUGCCCCCUGCUAAUGCUACUCAGAGUAUCUUUGAUAUCCUACACAUGGACAUCCCCCCACAGAGUCGGGAUCAGCCCAAUAUCAACUACACGGACCUAGUGUUCACGUCAAGUGAUGACAGCUUGUGUAAUAAUGAGAAUGGUGGUCUGGAGCCCGAAGACGGAUCUCCGGCUAAUACGGAGGAUGUCUUCUUAGAAGACAACGUGCAGAACUAUGUGAAUGUUGAGCCGGACAAGCAACCCCCCAGACCCCCUCCCCCGCUCAUGACCAGGCGAGACACCAACAACGGACUGAGUAACUACAGCAAUCAGUCCGUGUCGACCAUGGAUCCGCAGGGGUGUCUGUACAUAACCGUAGACACGGGGUCAGUCUCCACACAGGCUGUCCCAGCCCCACCCGCUCCGGUCAGAGAGCAGCCACCCACGUACGCUGUGAUAGACAUCGCGAAGUCGGAGGCUCUGCAGAACACUCAGAGGGACCGUGUCAGCAGUCGUUAUGAGGAUAAUGACAAUGGCAGUCGCAAAACGCGGCACAACAGCACCUUCAACUAAUCCCCCCUCACCCCUUCAAGAAAGAGAUUAAUGUGUGGAUUUGUUAAUAUGUACAUGCUACCAAAGGGUAAUAAUUGUGUUAGUCUUCUAGUGAUAUUAACCAUUUUAUAAGGCCAUCUAAGAAAAACAGUUGUUUUCAUCAGUUUGUACAUGUAUUGCUUAGUUAAUACAUAUGUGUAUAUACAUGUACUUCGAUCAGUGGGUUUUUUACCCAGAUUUCUCCAUGCCUACAAAAAAAAGAAGGUUGUUAAUUUUGUGAUUGAAUUGCAAGAUGGUAAGAUUUAAUGUUCAUAUUGACAUGAUGUUGUCUUUCAAACAAAGGUGUUGAGUUGUAUCUGUUUUUUUAUGCUUUAUGUGGAUAUUUUUUCUUCCCAAUUAUCCUCCCCCAUACAUGUGUUUAAAAAUGAAUUCAGUAUUUUUGUACAUUGUGUAUAUUGUUAUGAGUAUGAAUUUUUAUAGCAUUAAUUUUAUAAUCCAUUAUAUUUAUCAAUUAAUUGUUCUUAAGGUUGUCCAUGUCUUCAUUUACUGACUUUUCUUUCAACUGUCUUUCUGUGCAUCCAAAAUGAAUAAAUUGUGUAUUUCUU